rnacentral:rRNA from 1 species
AUUGAACGCUGGCGGCAGGCCUAACACAUGCAAGUCGAGCGGAUGAAGGGAGCUUGCUCCUGGAUUCAGCGGCGGACGGGUGAGUAAUGCCUAGGAAUCUGCCUGGUAGUGGGGGACAACGUUUCGAAAGGAACGCUAAUACCGCAUACGUCCUGCGGGAGAAAGCAGGGGACCUUCGGGCCUUGCGCUAUCAGAUGAGCCUAGGUCGGAUUAGCUAGUUGGUGAGGUAAUGGCUCACCAAGGCGACGAUCCGUAACUGGUCUGAGAGGAUGAUCAGUCACACUGGAACUGAGACACGGUCCAGACUCCUACGGGAGGCGGCAGUGGGGAAUAUUGGACAAUGGGCGAAAGCCUGAUCCAGCCAUGCCGCGUGUGUGAAGAAGGUCUUCGGAUUGUAAAGCACUUUAAGUUGGGAGGAAGGGUUGUAGAUUAAUACUCUGCAAUUUUGACGUUACCGACAGAAUAAGCACCGGCUAACUCUGUGCCAGCCGCCGCCGUAAGAC